GUCGAACGAGAAGCCACCUUCGGGUGGUGGACAGUGGCAGACGGGUGAGUAACGCGUGGGAACGUGCCCUUCGGUUCGGGAUAACCCAGGGAAACUUGGGCUAAUACCGGAUACGCCCUUCGGGGGAAAGAUUCAUUGCCGAAAGAUCGGCCCGCGUCGGAUUAGCUAGUUGGUGGGGUAAAAGCCCACCAAGGCGACGAUCCGUAGCUGGUCUGAGAGGAUGACCAGCCACACUGGGACUGAGACACGGCCCAGACUCCUACGGGAGGCAGCAGUGGGGAAUAUUGGACAAUGGGCGCAAGCCUGAUCCAGCCAUGCCGCGUGGGUGAAGAAGGCCUUAGGGUUGUAAACCCCUUUCAGCGGGGAAGAUAAUGACGGUACCCGCAGAAGAAGUCCCGGCUAACUCCGUGCCAGCAGCCGCGGUAAUACGGAGGGGACUAGCGUUGUUCGGAAUUACUGGGCGUAAAGCGCACGUAGGCGGAUUUGUAAGUCAGGGGUGAAAUCCCGAGGCUCAACCUCGGAACUGCCUUUGAUACUGCAAAUCUCGAGUCCGGAAGAGGUGAGUGGAAUUCCUAGUGUAGAGGUGAAAUUCGUAGAUAUUAGGAAGAACACCAGUGGCGAAGGCGGCUCACUUGGUCCGGUACUGA
rnacentral:rRNA from 1 species